rnacentral:misc_RNA from 1 species
AUUUACAAUUACACGGCACACCCUAAUGUUUUCACAAACUGCUUUUCCUGCUAUAUGUAACAUAGAUGAAGUAGCAGAAAUAGGCAGUUCCAUGUGCCCCCAACCCAAAGUGCUACCUCAGGUGCAAAAUCUUUUAUCUUUUAUUCCACAAGUGAAAGGACUCUUAAGUUUGCCUAAUAGAUUGCUUAUUCACCAUAGCCCUUGUCAUAUGUG